rnacentral:sRNA from 1 species
ACGACAAAAACAAGAACGCAUCACAACAGAACAAAAACAACACGUAACGACUCCAUAACAACAAGAACAAUCGGAUGGAGGCGCAGCAAACAGAUUCUUUUGGAGAGGAGUUGCCCGACAGGGUUCUCCCCCGACCGGACCGAGAACGAUAAAACUGCCCCGAGGCAGCGGCCAGCACCGGUAGGACCCGCUAGGGUUGUGGCGACAUCAGCGUCCAAAGGAAUACGUUUGUUCUUGAGUCCCUGCUUGGGACCUUAACCGGACCAUGGAGUCCGGGCGGGCAACCAACAAGAACAACAAGCCUGUACCAACAAGAAGAACACAGCACGACCGACUUCAAGGGGGAGCCUACGGGCUCCCCCUUGUGCUAUCUGCGAUCCGUUCGAGCCUGACCG